UCCGUAGGUGAACCUGCGGAGGGAUCAUUACCGAGUUUACAACUCCCAAACCCCUGUGAACAUACCUAUACGUUGCCUCGGCGGAUCAGCCCGCGCCCUGUAAAAAGGGACGGCCCGCCCGAGGACCCUAAACUCUGUUUUUAGUGGAACUUCUGAGUAAAACAAACAAAUAAAUCAAAACUUUCAACAACGGAUCUCUUGGUUCGGGCAUCGAUGAAGAACGCAGCAAAAUGCGAUAAGUAAUGUGAAUUGCAGAAUUCAGUGAAUCAUCGAAUCUUUGAACGCACAUUGCGCCCGCCAGUAUUCUGGCGGGCAUGCCUGUUCGAGCGUCAUUUCAACCCUCAAGCUCAGCUUGGUGUUGGGACUCGCGGUAACCCGCGUUCCCCAAAUCGAUUGGCGGUCACGUCGAGCUUCCAUAGCGUAGUAAUCAUACACCUCGUUACUGGUCAUCGUCGCGGCCACGCCGUAAAACCCCAACUUCUGAAUGUUGACCUCGGAUCAGGUAGGAAUACCCGCUGAACUUAAGCAUAUCAAUAAGCGGAGGA
rnacentral:rRNA from 1 species